AUGCACGCUGGCGGCGUGCCUAAUCCCUGCAAGUCGAGCGAACAGACGAGGAGCUUGCUCCUCUGACGUUAGCGGCGGACGGGUGAGUAACACGUGGAUAACCUACCUAUAAGACUGGGAUAACUUCGGGAAACCGGAGCUAAUACCGGAUAAUAUAUUGAACCGCAUGGUUCAAUAGUGAAAGACGGUUUUGCUGUCACUUAUAGAUGGAUCCGCGCCGCAUUAGCUAGUUGGUAAGGUAACGGCUUACCAAGGCAACGAUGCGUAGCCGACCUGAGAGGGUGAUCGGCCACACUGGAACUGAGACACGGUCCAGACUCCUACGGGAGGCAGCAGUAGGGAAUCUUCCGCAAUGGGCGAAAGCUUGACGGAGCAACGCCGCGUGAGUGAUGAAGGUCUUCGGAUCGUAAAACUCUGUUAUUAGGGAAGAACAAAUGUGUAAGUAACUAUGCACGUCUUGACGGUACCUAAUCAGAAAGCCACGGCUAACUACGUG
rnacentral:rRNA from 1 species